rnacentral:rRNA from 1 species
GACAGAGGGUGCUAGCGUUGUUCGGAGUUACUGGGCGUAAAGGGCGCGUAGGCGGUCUGCUAAGUUCGGUGUGAAAUCCCCUGGCUCAACUGGGGAACUGCGUUGGAAACUGGCAGACUCGAGUACCGGAGAGGAGAGUGGAAUUCCCAGUGUAGAGGUGAAAUUCGUAGAUAUUGGGAAGAACACCGAUGGCGAAGGCAGCCAUCUGGACCGACACUGACGCUGAGGCGCGAAAGCGUGGGGAGCAAACAGG